UUGGACUGAAGGGUUCCCUUC
rnacentral:miRNA from 1 species